UGAGACAUGCUGACCUGAACAGCAGUUAACACAUUAGGUAAACAUAUUUUAACAGUGUUUUUAUUAAAUUUAGGGUUCAAUGUCCACGGUCCACCUGGUCCUCUCAUUGUUCAGCUGGGAGACUCAGUGAUGCUGCCCUGCUUUGUGAAAACUCCUCUUCCAUUGGAAGAACUUGAAGUGGAUUGGAAAAGAAAUGACAGUGAAACUCUAGUGCACUUGUGGCAGGAUGGAGAGAGUCGACCAGAGUCUCAGAACAAUCAUUAUUAUGAAAGAGCUCAUUUUUUCCACAGAGGAGAUCGCUCAUGGAAACUUCUCCCUCCUGCUUACAGAUGUGACCCGUAAAGAUGCAGGAGUUUAUAAGUGUGCUGUUUACACAAAGCUGGAUUCUGGAGAAACUCUGAUUGAAAUAAAGGAGAUUGAGCGCUUGAUCGUCUCUGGAGCCCACAUUAUAUCUGCCUAUGCAGGUGAAGAUAUCACUCUGAAUUGCUCUGUAGACUCUCAUAUCACACCAGAAAAGAUAGAAGAGGUGUCAUGGAAGAAAACUGAUGAAGAUAUCUUAGUGCUGCUCUAUCAGGAGGGUAAGAUCCUGACAGACUCGACCAGUGAGAGAUACAUGGACAGAGUAGAAUUCUUCAGUGCUGAAGAAAGAAUGAAAGGAAACUUCUCUUUAAGACUGAAGGAUGUCCGAACAGAAGACAAAGGGCUGUAUAUGUGUUUAGUGUUCUCUGGGGAAUUAUCAGCUAACACAACUGUGGAGAUACAGCAGCUGGGUCUUUCCUUUCUGCAUAUUGCAAUUUUGAUUUUGUGUAUUCUUGGAUUUGUAAUCGGAUCACUUAUACUAGGCUUCCUAUCUUACACAUCUUAUAAAAAGGAAGAUGACAGCAGGAGAGCGCUAGCUGUACAGUGUGCACAUGUUCUUAUUCCUAAUAUUACUAUGUCCAUUGUCUUUAUCAUCUGGGGUGUUACUGAGGGUUUUUUUACUGAAGCAGCAACUUGUUCAGCGCUUAAUUUUGUUCGGAUCCUUUUCCUUCUUUGGACAGCACUCCAUUUAAAAACAUUUCAAGAUUUUCCCCGCCGAUUAAUUAACAACUUCGCAAUUCUACUACAGUAUACUGUGAUAACUGCUGUUGCUUAUUCUCGUAUUUUCGUGGAUAUCCUUUAUAGCAUAAACACUGAACAAAAAGUGUUUCUGUUUCUGUUACUGACAACAUUUUCUAUUCUGCUUGCUCUCAAUAUAGGAUGCAGUAGAAUGACUCAAAGACCAGUGGGGUACAUACUUACAAAAGCUAACAAUUGGUCGCAAAUACUGGUUAUCUUUUCGCGAUAUGGACUUCAUCAAAUAAAUUUGGCUGCAGCAAUUUUUUAAAUUUUCUUCUUACCAUUCUUGCCAUUGAUUUGGAUUUUUUAUGAUAUUCCCAAACGUUGGAAUUAUUUAUUCUGGGUAAUAGUGAUGUUCAUCCUGGAGGUUCUAAGUACAUCAUGCACAAUCUACUACCAUUAUGAUGUAAAAAGUGAUAUGAAAG